rnacentral:rRNA from 1 species
UACGGAGGGUGCAAGCGUUAUCCGGAUUUACUGGGUUUAAAGGGAGCGUAGGCGGGCUUGUAAGUCCGGGGUGAAAUCUCUGAGCUUAACUCAGAAACUGCCUUGGAUACUAUGAGUCUUGAAUGUCGUUGAGGUUUGCGGAAUAUGUCAUGUAGCGGUGAAAUGCUUAGAUAUGACAUAGAACACCUAUUGCGAAGGCAGCAGGCUAAACGAAAAUUGACGCUGAGGCUCGAAAGCGUGGGGAUCAAAC